UGAAGAACGUAGCGAAAUGCGAUAAGUAAUGUGAAUUGCAGAAUUCAGUGAAUCAUCGAAUCUUUGAACGCACAUUGCGCCCGCCAGUAUUCUGGCGGGCAUGCCUGUCUGAGCGUCAUUUCAACCCUCAUGCCCCUAGGGCGUGGUGUUGGGGAUCGGCCAAAGCCCGCGAGGGACGGCCGGCCCCUAAAUCUAGUGGCGGACCCGUCGUGGCCUCCUCUGCGAAGUAGUGAUAUUCCGCAUCGGAGAGCGACGAGCCCCUGCCGUUAAACCCCCAACUUUCCAAGGUUGACCUCAGAUCAGGUAGGAAUACCCGCUGAACUUAAGCAUAUCAAUAAGCGGAGGA
rnacentral:misc_RNA from 1 species